rnacentral:rRNA from 1 species
UACAGAGGUCCCAAGCGUUGUUCGGAUUCACUGGGCGUAAAGGGUGCGUAGGUGGCCGGGUAAGUCUGACGUGAAAUCUCCAAGCUCAACUUGGAAACUGCGUCGGAUACUAUCCGGCUAGAGGAUCGGAGGGGAGACUGGAAUACUUGGUGUAGCAGUGAAAUGCGUAGAUAUCAAGUGGAACACCAGUGGCGAAGGCGAGUCUCCGGACGAUUCCUGACACUGAGGCACGAAAGCCAGGGGAGCAAACAGG